rfam:Homo sapiens chromosome 11, GRCh38 reference primary assembly.
GCCAGGUGUGGUGGCGUGCACCUGUAGUCCCAGCUACUUGGGAGGCUGAGGUGGGAGGCUGGCUUGAGCCUAGGAUGUAGAGGCUGCAGUGAGCUGAGAUUGUGACACUGCACUCCAGCCUAGGUGACAGAGCCAAACUCUAUCUCAA